rnacentral:rRNA from 1 species
GCUAAGAAUCUUCCGCAAUGGGGGAAACCCUGACGGAGCGACGCCGCGUGGACGAAGAAUGCCGGAAGGUUGUAAAGUCCUUUUCCUGGGGGAGAAUAAGGAGUGGAGGGAAUGCCAUUCAGAUGACGUGAACCAGGGAAUAAGCCCCGGCUAAUUACGUGCCAGCAGCCGCGGUAACACGUAAGGGGCGAGCGUUGUUCGGAUUUAUUGGGCGUAAAGGGCGCGUAGGCGGUAAGAUAAGUCUGGUGUUAAAUGCCCCGGCUCAACCGGGGAGGUGCGCUGGAAACUGUAUUACUGGAGUGGUGGAGGGGGAGCUGGAAUUCCUGGUGUAGGGGUGAAAUCUGUAGAUAUCAGGAAGAACACCGGAGGCGAAGGCGAGCUCCUGGCCACCUACUGACGCUGAGGCGCGAAAGCGUGGGGAGCAAACAGGAUUAGAUACCCGAGUAGUCC